GAAGAACUCAACAUACGAGACGCAGGAACUCCCCUCUAGCGGCCACCAGGUGGCGCUGUUAGCGCAAUCAUAAGGAAGACGAGAGUGGGUUUUAUCACCACCCCCCCGCCCCCCUUGCAGCAUCGAUCAGCUGGCCGCCGUGCCCCCGGUGGGCCAAUGUGCCGUUUCCUCCAUUAGUGUCGGCUUUGUUAAACCAAUCACAGAGGUGUUAAUGGGCGAUGGCGGGGCCCCUUGGAAUGAGAAGAGAGGAGAUGGGAUGGAGAAAUGUGUGUUGGGCCCCUCAAGGUCUCCCCAUCCACAUGCGAGAUGCUCACCUCAGUGCGGCUUAAUUACAUCAUUACAGACCCGGAGGUGUUACGUUCUCUCCACGUGUUAAUCGAUCUGACAGCGCAUUUAAACAGGCGAUAAUCGCCGAGUCUCUCCAGGUGAUGGCCCAUGUGACCACGUGAAUGGAUAUUUGUAAGAGCUGGAGCUUGACGACUGGCUGACACGUCGGUGACUUAAUCCCGUCGACCUCCCGCCUGCGCAUCAAUUACAUCCCCAUUGACUGGCCAUUAGGCAGAGGCAUUGACAUUCACGGGCCUCCGUCUGCACCGAGGCCGAUGUGUAUUCCCCCCCAACACAGGAGUCGGGCCCUGCGCAUUUACACCCGGAUCACUGCAUUUAUUGUGCUGCUCCGUGGCGGCGGGCCGCAGAGGCCUCUG
ensembl:lncRNA